AAAAGGCCGCAGUAUUUUGACUGUGCAAAGGUAGCAUAAUAAUUAGUUUUUUAAUUGGAAGCUGGAAUGAAUGAUUGAAUGAAAUAUUAACUGUCUUAAAUUAAUUGUUUUAGAAUUUAAUUUUUAAGUUAAAAAGCUUAAAUUUUAUUGAAGGACGAGAAGACCCUUUAAAGCUUUAUAUAAAAAUUAAAAUAAUUUAUAAGAAUAAUAUAUUUAUUUUAAUUAAUAUAUUUUAUUGGGGCGAUAGGAAAAUUUAAUUAACUUUUUUUUUUAUAGAAACAUUAAUAAAUGAAUAUAUGAUCCAUAAAUUGUGAUUAUAAGAUUAAGUUACUUAAGGGAUAA
rnacentral:rRNA from 1 species